rnacentral:rRNA from 1 species
UACAGAGGGUGCAAGCGUGUUCGGAAUUAUUGGGCGUAAAGCGCACGUAGGCGGCUUUGCAAGUCGGAUGUGAAUCCCUCGGCUUAACCAAGGAAGUGCAUCCGAAACUGCAGAGCUUGAGUACUUAAGAGGAUCGCGGAAUUCCGGUGUAGAGGUGAAAUUCGUAGAUAUCGGGAGACACCAGUGGCGAAGGCGGCGUCUGGGAAG